AAAUAUAUAUCUCUCAUAUAAGCUCUUUCAUAUAUUAUUAUAAGCUCUUUUAUAUGAACAAAUAUGUAUCUCUCACUUAUGCUCCUUAUAUAUUAUCAUAAAUACAUUAUUAUAUGCCUUUUCAUGGAAUCUUGUUAUAAUAUCGAAAACCUCUCUGUGCCUUUUCUGCUCAAGCUGAACAGCUGCAUAAGGGAGUGAAAGCGUUCCUUCCUUCAGUUCCUCAAUACAAGAACAACUGUCUUUGUUAGCAAAGGAUGUUGCAGGAUGUGUCCUGAUCAUCUCAAGGUUGCAUGUCCUUGGGAUGAAUUGGUCUUUCAUUAACAAGGCUAUUAGCUGACGUGCGUCUGCAGGUGCAGAUGGCAGAAUUACGUGUGUGUAUGGCAAACUACGUAUGUAACAUUCCUGUAAUCUUCAAUAAAAAUCAGCCGUUUUCAGCAGAACGGCGAGAGUCUGUCCGAAGCAUCUGGCAAGAGCAGGUCGCGGGACUUGCUGCAGAGACUCUCCCCCUCAUGAGCGGUGAAACAGUGAAUGGACUUCUGAUCAUUUGUCUCCUCGUUCUGUCAACUUAAAAGGUGUUUAACUCCAUCUACUCCGUACCCGUGCUUGGUCUAACGGAAGAGAGACCAACAAAUUUGGCGUCACGAACAGGAUUUUUUCUUUUUGAAGAAAAAGGAGUUUUUGGAGGACAAUUUGACCAACCGACCCAGCGAACAGAUCUUGGCACAGAACACCGCGGUGGAAAACAAGGUGAGCAGAGCCUAUUAUCUAAAAUCUGCUCAUUGGAUUUAUCCAAAGCCUUUGUGUCCAGAAUCAUAGUAGCUGAGGUCCUAAAAUAAUAGUUGGAGAAGAAAGUGGAGACAAGUGCAGAAAGAAUAAGAGAUUUUUUGUAAUGGUUUAAUGGUGAAAUGAAAUGAGGAUUUUUCUAAUGGUUUAAUGAGUAAAUGAGAAAAGGAAAUAGUACAGAUGAAGGGAUGGUGACCCAGGGCUAAUAGAGUAGCCCUAAAGUUCCAUUUCCAGGUCGUGGCUGACCACACUAUUUGCUGACGAGCGGAUAGAAUAUAUAACAAGGUUAUAUAAAGCUUGGCUGGAUCCAUAGGUGUGGGAACCCUAAAAGUCCACAGGUCAAGGACCUGGUUUUUUGUGUUAAGGGAAGGGGAGGCUAAAAGAGAGCUCCCUGGAUUUUAAGGUCAAGGACCUGGUUUUUUGUGUUAAGGGAAGGGGAGGCUAAAAGAGAGCUCCCUGGAUUUUUAAGGUCAAGGACCUUUUGCAUGAGAUGAGAAAAAUGUUCUGAGGUAACUGUUUUUGCAUAAGAUGAUAAAUGUUUUGACUGCUUCUGUGUGAAGAGAGCAGUGCUUUUGGCUAUUUCUGCGUGCUUUUGGCUGUUUUUGCAUAAAAUGAGCAAUGUUUAAAUAUGACAAGCAGCCCAGUUGAAGCCACGAGAAAUAAGGUUUUAUUGAGAAAGUCAGCGGAAGAGGCGAUGAAGAAAAAAGGGGUAGAUGUUAACAGUAGAGGUAACUGGAGAAAGAUUUGGGAAGUGAAGGCUGCAGAAUCAAGAGAAAAAAGGCACAGCUGUAGACAAGCUUCACUGUGUGUGUAAGCUGAGUUCAGCCUGUGUGUGUGAGGCGCAGCAAGAGGCUGCUUACGGCUCUGGAUUGAAAGUGCAGCACUAGGAGAGUGCAGAAUGCAGAGCAGAGUUUUGGGAGCUCCGUGUGUGUGUGUGUGUGUACAGCGCUGGAUGGUGUGUGUGAAGGCCUGAUGCGGUACCAGAAAAUAAAUAAAUAAGCUAAAUAAGAGCUUUAAAAAGUUGCAACUCGUAUAUGUAAAUUACACUGCAGUGCUAAAAAUUAAUGUUUGGAGCUACGCAAAAUUCAAAUUCUGCAACCCUGUUCUGAUCAGUCUUUGAACAGAACACCAUAAGUUAAUAAAUAAAAGGUUUUUAAAGUAACAUAUGCAUAUGUAUGUGUGUAUGUAUGUAUAUGUGUAUACAUAUAUAUACAUAUGUAGUGUAGAAGCGUGAUAAUCAUUUGUGUGUGGGGCAGCAUGUGAGUGACCCCGAUUUGGGGGUUAAGUGACCUGGAGAUGAAAAAAGGGAAAAAACCACCAAGAAACGCAAGUAAGGAUGUAAAUGACAGCUUUAUUUUAGAAAUAUAGUCAUAUAGCUGCUAAACAGUAAAAUCAAAACAGAUCUGCAGAAAAUAAAUAUAUAAACUAUUCCUCAGAGCGCUCUCAAAAAAAUUGCAAUUGGAUUUGCUCUAAUGUUACAUAAGGCCUGCUUAAAAGCAUAGUAAGCAUUAAAUUCUGAAAAUAACCAGUGCAGUGUUAAAUAAAUUCUGUGCUUAAAAUAUUAUAUAUAUAGAGAGAGAGAAUAAAUAAGUGACGAACUGACUUACCUUAAAAAAAUAAUAAUAAUAAAAAGAGACUGUGACAAACAAAGAAUGUCUCUGUGCCUUGUGAAUGAGUGAAUGUGUGUCUUCUUGCAUGAGCUGCUUUCGCUGGAUCUUCUGAAUGAUUCAGUUUUUAAUAGAGGGAGCAGCUGCUUGAGAAACAGGGUGCGGUCCAUGUUUUUACUAGACGGUUAUUUAGUUCGAGAGACUGUGGAAACAAUAGAAAAAGAAUUUAUCGUUAGUGUGAGGACAAGAAAAUCCUUUAAAAUACAAAAGUUGUAUGGUCGUGGUUAUAAAGGAAGUAUUUUGUCUGAUUAUGGGCCGUGGAGUCAGCUGGACUCCCUCGCUCUCACAGUUUUCCUGUGUAACAUGCAGUUUAAGCAAUUUGUGACUUUAGAAAGGAUAUUUUUCGGUGUUUUGGACGUACCUUAAGGCUUCUGGUUAGGGUAUUCAGGAGAUCCUUCCUCUCGGACAGAUUUAGUGAGAAUGACUGGAGUUUCAGCCUGGGGACCUGACUCCACCCACUUUUACACACAGGAGUUCCGCAGUCUAAAAAUAGCACAGGGUGCUGCGAAAAGCAGCUCUGAACCUCUCAGGAUCAUCUUUAUGAAAACCAUAAAAUUAACAAAUAAUCAGUCAGGAAAUAAAAUAUUUGUUAAAUCUUGCUAUAAAACAAAAUCCAAUAAUUGUCUUACCUCAACUUUAAGAACCAUUAACGUUAAUGGCUGGAUUUUGAGAUGCUGAAUAAUGAAAAAACAGAUAAACUAAGUAUUAUUUCCUGUAACCUGGCUAGAAACUGUACUAGGCUGUUUUGAGUUAAAAACUGGUAGUUAUUUUCCCAAAAUAAAAUAGAUAAACAAAAAAUGAAAGGAGGGAUCUUGCAUUUGGGAUAGAUUGUGCCUAAAGUUUAAAACCUGUGUAGAACCGACUUGACGAUUCAGAAAAAUUGUGCAUAGGAAGUAGUCUAGAUUUACCUUUGAGUCAAUAAAGUCGACUAAAUAUUAGAAACCAUCGUUGAUUUUGAUUUGUAAAAGAGAAAGUUCUGUCAUUUUAACUCAAUCAACAUAUUUAAGGAAAACGUUUGCUGUGCAUUGUGGCAGGCAUGAACUUUACUGGGUGGGCCUGUCACAACCAGCUGCAAAGAAUGUUUGGCUCUGACUUCUAUACAAAGAGAACCUGGAAGCCCUCACCAAAGAGAACCUGGAAGCCCUCACCAAAAGCUGUGACUCAUAACAUAAAGACGGGGAGCACUACAAGAUGGACAAAGAGGCAGAAACUUAUUUGCCCUGCUGCUGAUGAAACAAAGUACAAAAGGGGGAGCAUGUGUGCUAACAUGUGAACUUUAAUCAAUGACGGUGGUCAUCCUGGACUUACAAAGAGAGGCUCAAAAGAGACUGUUUCCCAUGGUUACACCCAGUAAAAGAGUGCUUGCUGCAGUCAGGUAAUGAACAAGGCUUUUCGGCAACAACCAGUUGAAUUGAUGAAAUGUCAGAACUGUGGAAAAUUUACUAAACUACUGUAGAACAUAGUUAACUGAGAAAGUUAGCCUAAAAAAAGAUAAUAAUAAUAUCAAUAAAUAAAUAAAUAAUAGGAUUAGUAACCUGGAUUUCAGCCCAACUCAUCAUUGGACGUCAAUAUAAUCUUUAUUGUCCUAGGAUUCUCAGCUGCAGCGGACAUGCAGUAAAGCCUUAUUUUCUUUUCAAAACGGAAUACAUCAGCGUCAUCACUUAUCUUCAUUAGUUAAGGAAACGGUGUCUAUUUAUAAGUCUAGGAGAACGCUUUAGGCUUCAACAGUUCUCUCCUUCGAGCAAACAUGCGCAAAUUUCCGGAUAGUUUAUAGUAACGUUCCAUCCCAUUCCAUUCAUUGCAUAAAAAUAAACAUUAAAUGAAUAAUUUGGCAUCCAGCUGACUAAAUGAUUCAUGGAACAUCUCAUCCGAGACAACAGUGUUGUUUCAGCUCCGUUGAGUUUCCCAACAGAUCUAGCCAAACCUAGCUGAUCCUAUAUUUUUCUAUCAGCUGUAAGUUCUAACGUAGAAAAUAAUGUCACAAAAAUAUUGAAUAAUUGUACCCCUCAUUCGAUAAAAAUUAUGUUCACAUUUUUAUCUUGUGAAAUCUUUAACAUAAUAUUUUUAAAUGGCCGUUUUGACGACAAUUGGCUAAAAAGUCUUUAAGAUUAUCAUCACAGGAUGGCAUGAUAAAUAAGUAAAUAACAUAAAUAAAUAAAUAGACAAAAAUAAGAGAGAAAAAGCAAAAUUAAUUAAAUGAAACGUAAUAGUGAUAAAACGUUAAAUUGAUCUAAAAUCUGUCAUUCAGCGCCACUGGAAAAAGGAAGAGGAUAGGGGAGUAUUUCUUAGCACAAAUCACGUUAUUGAUUUAGCAAUGCAGCUUAAUUUCAGAUGCUUUAAGGAUGAUACUAACUUGUGUUAUAGAUGGAGGAGUAGCACAGAAACACUUCUAGAUGAGGAGAUAAGGAAAAAAAACUGCUGAUUACCAAUACUAUGCACAAACAAACCUGUAACUGCAGUUUCGUUAUUUAUGAAUUAACCUUAAGUAGUGAAUUAAUUCUUAGGAUUUCUUGUGCGAGUAGUGUUCCUAAAAAAGAAAGAAAGAAAGAAAGAAAGAAGGUAAGAAAGACAGGUAGUUUAGGUAAGGGACAACCUGAAACUAUUUGGUUGAAUUGAUAGUAAAGUGAUUGUCCUAAUUUCUAAUUGGAGAGAUCACAUCGCAACGUGAGUUUAGAACAGCAGUUAUGGGAAGUUUUGUUGGAUUAAUUUGAUUACACGCUUUAGGUCUUAUUUUUUCUUUCCACUGAUUUAGCGUUAGGUUAAGUAUUUCACACUUUCGCUUCAGUCUGACAUUUGCUUGGUGUGUGAGGGCACAGAGACGUGUAUGGACCGUGUGUUUGACUGUGUUUGUCUUGUUUGUUUGUUUAUUUAUCUAUAUGGGCAUGGCCGAGCCUUGAGAAACAUCAACAAAGACAUUGGACUAUUCUGAGUAAAUUAACCAAUUCAAAUUCAAAUUCAGGAUCCUGAAACAAUUUGGCUAUAACCUCUAAUUGAUGAAGGACAUCUUAAGAAUUCAUUAUACAAGGAUUCCUCUCCAGUGUUGCCGGAACUGUUAUAAAACCCAUGCAUGGUUGUAUAUUUUAGUUUGAUCAUUUAUACUCAUUGAAUUAUUGUUGUUUGCUUUAUGUUUUAAUUUCUUUGCAAUUUUUUCUCUGUGACACAGGUGGAGAUGCUGGUGGCAAAAUGGAUCCCACACAUUUCUUUCUCCCACACACAUUCUUACUCUCUCCCUCUCUCUCUGUGUAUGUGCAUGUGUAUGUGUUUGUGUGUCUGUGUGUCCAUGUCGUGAUGUCACUGUACCUUUAAUUGCGCUUGCUGUUCGUAACUGUAUGUGUCUGAUGUUGAAGGUAUCAGAGGCUAGGGUCAGUAAGAGCUAGGACAUUUUUGUGCAUAACCUCUAAUCCCUAGGCGAUCGGUCCGGGGAACUUCUGGUCCGGCCGGAGUGUGAAUCUUCCUACCAACUAUCUGCCAAAGCUCAAUUGGACUGCACAAGUCGAGAAAGCCUUCAUUGGACCAAAACUACACACACGAAGAGGCUUCGUCUUCGGUGCCAGGCGUCUGGGUCCUGCUAAAAGUCACCAAAAGGAAGUGGACGGAACCGAGGUGGACCGAGCCAUACAGGAUCACGGAGAGGACAUCACACGCUGUCCGGCUGGACGGGAGGAGCCUAACCUGGAAGAGAAGCAGCUGACAUCUGCCUAACCAGAGAAAGGAUCCAAAAACCAGGAAGAGAAGUAGCUGACUGCAGUAGCAUGCCAAGCUGCCACCACAUCCUGCAGGACGAGAAUCUUGACAUCAUCACCCCCUGCAGCUGCCUGGAGCCAGUGAAGGGUCCUCAACAGGGGGAAGAAGUAACCACCCUAUGAACAUUCUACAAGGGUUGUAUUUAACACCCUCAUUUAUUUUAACAAGGGUAAUAUUUUACACCCUCCACCUGCUGACCCAAUUAUCCAGAUGCCCUUGUUACUAGCCAAUCCUAACAUCUAUUUGGGAGGGGAACUCUCUGAUGAUAGUGAUGACUCUCAUGAUGAAGAAGAUGUUGUUAGAGUGUGAGAAUGUUCAGUGAUUUAUGUAACCAUCCCUUCACCAGUUCAUUUUUAUGAUUUUUUUGUUUGUUUUGUUUUAUUUUUUGUUGAUCAUUGAUGUCCUAGGCAUGCACACUCUAUGCCAACAGGUGUUCGCCCCAAAAUUGAGAUAUGACAAAUGGGGGGACAUGGGGGAAUUUUCCCUAUAAACAUAUGAUAAUUAGGGUUUUUCGCCCUCAUAUGGAGUUGCAUGCGAUCCAUACAUGUUGUAACAUGUUCAGUUAAAAAUAUGAUCAUGUUUUUUUUUUGUAUUAGUUUACUGCUGGAAAUAUGAGAAGCUGUAACCUGAUUGAUUGUUUGUAUUUGUAUUUUAAAACUUUGCUUAUUGGAUUCUUUUUGAUGGAAUUUGGUGUUAUUGUUUUGAUUUCUUAUAUCUUUAUUGAACUCUUAAAAGAGUUCAAAAGGGGGAUUGAAAAUAUAUAUCUCUCAUAUAAGCUCUUUCAUAUAUUAUUAUAAGCUCUUUUAUAUGAACAAAUAUGUAUCUCUCACUUAUGCUCCUUAUAUAUUAUCAUAAAUACAUUAUUAUAUGCCUUUUCAUGGAAUCUUGUUAUAAUAUCGAAAACCUCUCUGUGCCUUUUCUGCUCAAGCUGAACAGCUGCAUAAGGGAGUGAAAGCGUUCCUUCCUUCAGUUCCUCAAUACAAGAACAACUGUCUUUGUUAGCAAAGGAUGUUGCAGGAUGUGUCCUGAUCAUCUCAAGGUUGCAUGUCCUUGGGAUGAAUUGGUCUUUCAUUAACAAGGCUAUUAGCUGACGUGCGUCUGCAGGUGCAGAUGGCAGAAUUACGUGUGUGUAUGGCAAACUACGUAUGUAACAUUCCUGUAAUCUUCAAUAAAAAUCAGCCGUUUUCAGCAGAACGGCGAGAGUCUGUCCGAAGCAUCUGGCAAGAGCAGGUCGCGGGACUUGCUGCAGAGACUCUCCCCCUCAUGAGCGGUGAAACAGUGAA